rnacentral:rRNA from 38 species
UUGACCUCGGAUCAGGUAGGGUUACC